AGCUCCCUGCUAUGCGCGUUUAAGGCUGAAAUUCUUUGAACCAAUUAUCAAAUUUGGUUGUUGACUAAAGUGGUGCUGGUGUGCGAACCUGUACGGGUUUGCCUGAAGUACCCGGGAGACGACCACCUUGAACCAUCAGGUUCAAGAUGAUGGUCUGACGGCAUCUGCGGGGAGCCC
rnacentral:other from 1 species